UAGGGAAUAUUGGACAAUGGGGGCAACCCUGAUCCAGCCAUGCCGCGUGAGUGAAGAAGGCCCUCGGGUUGUAAAGCUCUUUUGUCCGGAAAGAAAAGCUUCGGGUUAAUACCCCGGGGUUCUGACGGUACCGGAAGAAUAAGCACCGGCUAACUUCGUGCCAGCAGCCGCGGUAAUACGAAGGGUGCAAGCGUUACUCGGAAUUACUGGGCGUAAAGCGUGCGUAGGUGGUUGUUUAAGUCUGAUGUGAAAACCCUGGGCUCAUCCUGGGAAUGGCAUUGGAAACUGGGCAGCUAGAGUGCGGUAGAGNGUAGUGGAAUUCCCGGUGUAGCAGUGAAAUGCGUAGAGAUCGGGAGGAACAUCUGUGGCGAAGGCGACUGCCUGGACCAGCACUGACACUGAGGCACGAAAGCGUGGGGAGCAAACA
rnacentral:rRNA from 1 species